rnacentral:rRNA from 1 species
UAACCACCCAAAACCGGAUCGAUCACUCCCCUUCGGGGGUGUGGAGUUCUGGGGCUGCGUGGGAACUUCGCUGGUAGUAGUCAAGCGAAGGGGUGACGCAGGAAGGUAGCCGUACCAGUCAGUGGUAACACUGGGGCAAGCCGGUAGGGAGAGCGAUAGGCAAAUCCGUCGCUCACUAAUCCUGAGAGGUGACGCAUAGCCGGUUGAGGCGAAUUCGGUGAUCCUCUGCUGCCAAGAAAAGCCUCUAGCGAGCACACACACGGCCCGUACCCCAAACCGACACAGGUGGUCAGGUAGAGCAUACCAAGGCGUACGAGAUAACUAUGGUUAAGGAACUCGGCAAAAUGCCCCCGUAACUUCGGGAGAAGGGGGACCGGAAUAUCGUGAACACCCUUGCGGUGGGAGCGGGAUCCGGUCGCAGAAACCAGUGAGGAGCGACUGUUUACUAAAAACACAGGUCCGUGCGAAGUCGCAAGACGAUGUAUACGGACUGACGCCUGCCCGGUGCUGGAAGGUUAAGAGGACCCGUUAACCCGCAAGGGUGAAGCGGAGAAUUUAAGCCCCAGUAAACGGCGGUGGUAACUAUAACCAUCCUAAGGUAGCGAAAUUCCUUGUCGGGUAAGUUCCGACCUGCACGAAUGGCGUAACGACUUCUCAACUGUCUCAACCAUAGACUCGGCGAAAUUGCACUACGAGUAAAGAUGCUCGUUACGCGCGGCAGGACGAAAAGACCCCGGGACCUUCACUACAACUUGGUAUUGAUGUUCGGUACGGUUUGUGUAGGAUAGGUGGGAGACUGUGAAACCUCGACGCCAGUUGGGGCGGAGUCGUUGUUGAAAUACCACUCUGAUCGUAUUGGGCAUCUAACCUCGAACCCUGAAUCGGGUUUAGGGACAGUGCCUGGCGGGUAGUUUAACUGGGGCGGUUGCCUCCUAAAAUGUAACGGAGGCGCCCAAAGGUUCCCUCAACCUGGACGGCAAUCAGGUGGCGAGUGUAAAUGCACAAGGGAGCUUGACUGCGAGACUUACAAGUCAAGCAGGGACGAAAGUCGGGAUUAGUGAUCCGGCACCCCCGAGUGGAAGGGGUGUCGCUCAACGGAUAAAAGGUACCCCGGGGAUAACAGGCUGAUCUUCCCCAAGAGUCCAUAUCGACGGGAUGGUUUGGCACCUCGAUGUCGGCUCGUCGCAUCCUGGGGCUGGAGCAGGUCCCAAGGGUUGGGCUGUUCGCCCAUUAAAGCGGCACGCGAGCUGGGUUUAGAACGUCGUGAGACAGUUCGGUCUCUAUCCGCCGCGCGCGUCAGAAACUUGAGGAAACCUGUCCCUAGUACGAGAGGACCGGGACGGACGAACCUCUGGUGCACCAGUUGUCCCGCCAGGGGCACCGCUGGAUAGCCACGUUCGGUCAGGAUAACCGCUGAAAGCAUCUAAGCGGGAAACCUUCUCCAAGAUCAGGUUUCUCACCCACUUGGUGGGAUAAGGCCCCCCGCAGAACACGGGUUCAAUAGGUCAGACCUGGAAGCUCAGUAAUGGGUGUAGGGAACUGGUGCUAACCGGCCGAAAACUUACAACA